AUUAUAGCCACUUACAAAGAAUAAAACUGUUUAGAGUAAUUCGAGAUGUAAACAGACAUCUUGGCACGUGACUUGCAAUCCCGUUUGAUUUUAAGUUUUUUGUUUUGUUUUUUCUGUUAUUGUAUAUGUUGUAAUUUAGUCGGGAUGGUGGGUGGGUGAUAAUCCGAAGAGACGAUGCAAUCAAAGAAUAAAAAGG
rnacentral:ribozyme from 1 species